UCCUUUCACAGAGCAGCAAUUCCCAGAGUUCCCCGGGAAGUGGCAUUGUUUGUUCCCACUCUGUGGGCUCUGUGACCGGAACUUGGGUCACCUAACUCUCAGCACCCUUAACAAACUACAGAACCCAGGAUUCUUUGGAGGAAACCACAGCUGUUUAGAGUGGUAUGAUAUCCCUUUAAAUGUAUAGUGCAGAUGCCGCCCCCCUCCAGAACUUUUCUUCUGGUUCUUUAGUGGCCCUAUUCCACUAGCCUGCACUUACCACCAAGUUCACUGUUGUUGUUGUUGUUGUUUAGUUGUUUAGUCAUUUGUGACCCCAUGGACCAGAGUACACCAGGCACUCCUUUCUUCCACUGCCUCCGGCAAUUUGGUCAAACUCAUGUUAGUAGCUUCGUGGACACUGUCCAACCACUUCAUCCUCUGUCGUCCACUUCUCCUUGUGACCUCAAUCUUUCUCAGCAUCAGGGUCUUUUCCAGGGAGUCUUCUUUUCUCAUGAGGUGGCCAAAGUAUUGGAGCCUCAGCUUCACGAUCUGUCCUUCCAGUGAGCACUCAGGGCUGAUUUCCUUAAGAAUGGAUAGAUUUGAUCUUGCAGUCCAUGGGACUCUCAAUAGACUCCUCCAGCACCAUAAUUCAAAAGCAUCAAUCAAGUUCACUGUUAGAGAGACUUAUAAGGAGAGCUUUGCUGGAUCCAAAAGGCUCAUGUGGUCCAUAUCCUGCUUCCUACAGUGGCCAAGCAGUUGGUUCUGAGAAGGCUACAAGAGUUCACAAAUGCUUUUAACAAAUGACAAUUCCUAGGAUUCUUUGGGGGGAACUAUGAUUGUAAAGGUGGUAUGAUCCUGCUUUAAAUGUAUAGUGCAGAUGUGACAAUUGCUACCCCAAUUGAAGCUCUUUAUGAUUCCCACUUGAAAUGUGGUCUUUGUGAAGACAUUUGGCUGCCUGGAGAUUGAAUGAUACACCCUUGCCCACCGCCACAGGCCCAACAUUUUCAAAACUCUCCUUGUACUACAGCUUCAUUGUGUCUCCUCCUCCUCCUCCUCCUCCUGAGCCAGAUGCAACUCUGCCUCUGCCAUCCAAUCCAGUAUCCUGUUCUCACAGUGGCCAGCCAGAGGCUUGUGGAAAACCUGCAAGCAGGAUUCAAGCAAAAGAGCACUCUUCCCUCCUGCGGUUUCCAGCCACUGGUAUUCAGAAGCAUUUCUGCUUCCAACUGUUUUGCUGUGCAGAAACAUAUGAUUGAAGCUGAUGAAAGCUACACUGUAGACUAUCCAAGAAACAGAUUGAAGGAUUCCUGGAGAGAGUGUCAUUCCAAACAUAUUGAAGAGGGGUGCCAAACAUUUCUGGGAAAGUGACACAUUUUGAUCGAAGCGCGGAGGAAAUUGCAGGGAAAUGUGAGUCAUUUUGGCUCAGUCCGAAUCUGAUCCAAAGAAUGUGGAAUGAUGAACUGGCCUGUGAACUUCUGAAUGUGUUCACUCAUCCUUUGAAAAUGCUAACAUGCUCUAAUUCAGGAGAAGCCAACAUGGAAUGGUGCAGAUGACAUCCAUCAUCUACAACCAUUGACCAUGUUGGCUAAGGCUCGGGAGAGUUGUAAUCCUAGUACAUACUGAGGGCAUAAUGUUUGCUAUCUCUGACCUAGAAAAUCCCUCUUAGAAUCAUACGCUUGUAGUGUGGGGCUUGAACACACAACCUGAAUUAAAGAGUUUCAUGCUAUACCAACAGAGCUAGAUUAGACCAAUGACUGGCUUUAUUCAACUUUUAUUCCUACUUUUUGGAAAUGAUUGCAGACCUCCUACUCUCAAAAAGGGUCUUAUCUCUCUUACCGUUCCUCUUGUGAAUGGGUAGAGUUUGGGUCCUACCCAUAUUAUGGAAAAGGCUUAUUUCCAUCUUGCAUUCUCUCAUGAAAUUGAGACAGGUGGGAGACUGUAGCUCACUGGAAGGGCAUCUGCUUUGCAUGCAGAAGGUCCCAGGUUCUAUCCCUAGCAUCUGCAGGUAGGGCUUGGAGAAAACCUUAUGCUUCUUAGUUGCCAUCUGAUGUAUCCAUUGCUGAUCUGUGCAAUUUAAAAAUACAGUAUGUUGCCAUAUUCCAAGACAGAGGAGCAUUUGCCCUUUUGAGCUUAGUAUCUCUACUCCUAGGUUAGCCAGCAUGGUUCCCUCCAGAUGCAGCUGGACUUUACCUCCCAUCAUCCUUGAUGGCCAUGUUGGCAGGAUUGAUGGGAGCUGGAGUGACUACAUUGGCUGCUCCUUCCUUAGUUAGUCUACACUUUAGAAUUUUAGGUUCCUGCUUUCAACGUUCUUAGAAUCAGUGUGUGAGUGUGUGUUUUGAGUGGGGAGCAUUGUAUCAGUUGCUACUUCAGUCCUCUUCAGCACUCUCCUAUCUACUUACUAAAGUGUUACAGAUCCUGCCAAGGGCUUUCUGUUCCUCUUCUGACAGAUUUCUUGGUUGUAAUUCAUCUGGGCCUGGAGCUUUGUCGACUUCUAAUAGCUCUAAUUGCCUAAUUAAAGUAUCGGCUGUGGUUACAACUCUGGAGCCUUUCAAAGACUGUGUUUUCUCUCACUCCCCUCCUCCUAAAGAAAGGAAACGUAUUUCAGCAUUGCGGUCUCUACUUCUUCUGUAUGUCUUUUGCAACCUAUAGUUAAUGCUGCUAAGUCUCAUUUGACUUGAAUGACUUGUUUCUCUGGCUAAAAGUGGUUAUAGGGUUCAGGGAAGAAUUGAACUCCAUAAGACUGCAACAGUUCUAAAGCUAGGAAAAAGCAUGUGGAUAUUUAAGCAGAGACAUCACCUUGCCAACAAAGGUCCGUAUAGUUAAAGCUAUGGUUUUCCCAGUAGUGAUGUAUGGAAGUGAGAGCUGGACCAUAAAGAAGGCUGAUCACCGAAGAAUUGAUGCUUUUGAAUUAUGUUGCUGGAGGAGACUCUUGAGAGUCCCAUGGACUGCAAGAAGAUCAAACCUAUCCACUCUUAAGGAAAUCAGCCCUGAGUGCUCACUGGAAGGACAGAUCGUGAAGCUGAGGCUCCAAUACUUUGGCCACCUCAUGAGAAGAGAAGACUCCCUGGAAAAGACCCUGAUGUCGGGAAAGAUGGAGGGCACAAGGAGAAGGGGACGACAGAGGACGAGAUGGUUGGAUAGUGUUCUCGAAGCUACCAGCAUGAGUUUGACCAAACUGUGGGAGGCAGUGGAAAACAGGAGUGCUUGGAGUGCUCUGGUCCAUGGGGUCACGAAGAGUCGGACACGACUUAACGACUAAACAACAACAACAACAAUUUACUUAACUACCUGAGAUGUGUGGAAAUGUGCAGUGCUACAAAGAACGCAAGAACAUAAAGAGCCCUGUUGGUUCAGGCCAAAGGCCCAUCCAGUCCACAAUCCUGUUCUCACCAUGGCCAACCAGAUGCCUCAGUGGGAAAUCUCAAAGCAGGACCUGAGUACAAGAGGCUUCUCCCCAUGUGUGAUUCUCAGCAGCUGGUAUUCAGCGCCACAUUGCCUCCAACACUGGAAGAAGUACAUAGUCAAUAUCACUUGUUGUCCUAUACUCCAUAAAAGCAUUAAUUAACUGAAGGAAAAGCUCUUCAAAGGCCAGUUUUCAAAUCUGCCAUGAAUGCCGUAGGAGUAUAAAGGCAAAUAAAUGUGCCAAUAAGUGCAUGUAGCACACUUUCCCCACAUGUGUCUUUACUUCCAUUGGUAUUUCUUUCUUCAUGCACGCUGGUAAGACAUGCAUCUAAAAGGGCAGAGAUGAGAUCUUUCAAAAUGCAGAUCUGAACCACUGCUGCACACUGUAGGCAUACUAUUAUCUGCAAUCGGAUUAACUGUGCAUCACUUGGGAGAUAUGAGGCUGCCUUACCAUAUUGGUCCACAUAGCCUGCAACUGUCUGUUCUGACUGGCAGGGCUACAAUUUAUCUCAAAGGAUUUAAAAACAAAAACAAAACAAUGACAAACAGAUCUGGAAAUGGGGAGAACUGAACUUAAACUUGGAAUGAUGUAACGGGAAGGGACUUAAUUACAUUCUUAAAUCUAACCACAACAAACAGCGCACCAAAUAAGCUUGCUUUCGUGGAACCUUAAUUGCAGUGCAUGCAAUGGAUGUAGGUUGGAACGAAAAAGGAGUUCUCCUUACAUCCCAAAUUAUGAGAAAGGGAGGAUUGUGUGAAUGGAACUUGCUCAUCUAUCCUCUCUCUUUUUUCGGGGGGGGGGGGAGGGCAGGCAAGUGCUCAAGUUUCAUUACCUGCUCAUCUUCUGUAUUUCCUUUAAUCACAAAAUGGAAUGGAGGAAAGUCAUUCCAGCUAAGCCAUCAUUUCAGGCGGCUGACAGUUUGGGCCCUGAACACUGUGUCACCUUCUUUCUUAAACUCGCUGUGAUAAAUUAUGGCAGGUUGAACUUUACACUCUUUUGUCCAGAUAUUUUAUUAUUGCUCCUUAUCUUGGACCUUGCCUGCAUAAAGGUGUGCUACUGGAACAUAUGAGCCUUCAGCACAUUGCUUCACUUUGGCUGAUCACCUGCAGAAAAUUAUGGGUGGAAUCCAGCAAAAAGUUCCUGAAAGCGAGGUUUUGUUCCUCUGAGAUUGUCAAAAUUUGUGCUGUCAGCAAAGGAAGCUUGAGUCCUGUAUACCAAAGUUAAAGCAUUCUUGACUGUCUUGUUUGAUAUGAAACAUCUUAAAGGGACUCUUGAGUUUUAAAUAUAUUGGUUUCCAAUUCAAAUUCAAAUUUGUAGUCAAAACAGUCAUUCGAGAGAGGGAGCUAUUGGCUAAUGAUGUGAGAAUGAAUUCUUUUCCAUUCUGCCCUGCAUUUGCCUUAUGCAGAACUGCUUUCAUUCUUCUGCAGUUCACCUGCCACAAAACCACUCUAUUCUUCUUAUUGUCUGCUGUGGCAAGAUUAUGGUCCUGAAAGACCUACAUUGGCUCCCAGCACGUUUCCGAGCACAAUUCAAAGUGUUGGUGCUGACCUUUAAAGCCCUAAAUGGCCUCGCCCCAGUAUACCUGAAGGAGCGUCUCCACCCCUAUCGUUCUUCCUAGACGCUGAGGUCCAGCUCCGAGGGCCUUCUGGCGGUUCCCUCACUGCGAGAAGCCGAGUUACAGGGAACCAGGCAGAGGACCUUCUUGGUAGUGGCACCUGCCCUGUGAAUCGCCCUCCCACCAGAUGUCAAAGAGAACAACAACUACCAGACUUUUAGAAGACAUCUGAAGGCAGCCCUGUUUAGGGAAGCUUUUGUAAUAUUUUGUUGGAAGCUGCCCAGAGUGGCUGGGGAAGCCCAGCCAGAUGGGCAGAGUAUAAUAAAUAAUAAAUAAUAAAUAAUAAAUAAUAAAUAAUAUUACGGAACUUACAUAACUUACAUUGCCAUUAUGUAAUUUCACCCCAUUUAUUUCACUGCAAAGGAAAUGCAAUACAACAGUAUGUGGGGGGUGGCAACAAUUAGUUACGUAUUGUGUGAGAGUGCUGUUGUGCUUGGGUCCUACUUGCUGGUCUUCCAUAGACAUUUGGGUAACCACUAUUCAAACAGGAUGCUGGAAUAGAUGGGCCAUUGGCCUGAUCUGGCAGACUUUUCUUAUGAACUUAUGCAAAGAACAAUGAAGUUUUGGAAUGACUGAAGUUUCAUCCUCCUGAGCACAGACUCCCAUUCUGUUGCUUCCAAUGAGAUGUCUGUCUUUUGCAGGAAAGGCACAAUUGUACUUAACAAGGGAUGCACACAUACUGUAGAAGCUGUGUAGGACACCAGCAUCCCAUCAGCACCAGGACGAUGCCCUGUAACAUCUGAAGGAAAUAAAGCCUGCCGCUCCAAUGCAAGGAAUAACAAGACAAGCAGAUUUGUGCCUUCUUCUCCUUCUUUUAAUGAAUAAAUUAUCUUCC